GAUGGACCGCAGUUGAACAUCCUUGAUGUGGCCAGCUAUUAGCAACCCACAGCUAAGCAUUUUGUAUGUGACCAACUAACAAUCUUCAUGUUAUGUAAUAGUAUUCCCUCUACCCGUUAAAGGAACAUCCCUUUUGAGCAUCCACGAUAUACCCAGCUAACAUUCGUAACUGAGCAUCCUUGGUACAAUAUAUACGUGAUCUCUGCGAGGAUAUGAAAUUCUAGCUCUGGCUACAUGCACGGGGUUCACGCGGUUGAGCAUCCUUAAUGUGACCAGCUAGCGUAAGUAGCUGAGCAUCUUGUAUGUGACCAACUAGCGAUCUCUUCGUAUCCCUGGAAACCUAAAGUCGCUACCAAUUCAACGAGCAACCUAUGAUUUAUGGAAAGUACCUGGGAACCUAAAGCCACUUCCUAUUCAACGAGCAACCUACGGUUUUUGAAAGAUCAUUGGGGAC
rnacentral:lncRNA from 1 species